AAAGAAACCAGGACGGUCUUUGUCUAUACAUUUGGGUAUUAUAAAUCAUAUAAAUAUGUGUUCAUUUAUGGAAACCCAUGAAACGAUACCCUUGCAUAUUCCGCAGUUUGAAAAUAUGACACAGAAUUUGCAUAUGGCUGGGAAUAACAUCUGCAGACUUUUUUGAUUGGUGGAUAAAUUCAAUAUAAUCUCACUAAUCUAUAAUAAUUGUUUCCUUUUUUGCCG
rnacentral:lncRNA from 1 species